CAUUAAGUUCUAAUUAUAGAAAUUGAAUUUUUAUUUCAAUGUUAAUAAAUUAAAAUUUUAUUCUUAAUGA
rnacentral:tRNA from 1 species